rnacentral:rRNA from 1 species
UGGCUCAGGACGAACGCUGGAGGCGUGCUUAACACAUGCAAGUCGAACGCUGAAGCUUGGUGCUUGCACUGGGUGGAUGAGUGGCGAACGGGUGAGUAAUACGUGAGUAACCUGCCCUUGACUCUGGGAUAAGCCUGGGAAACUGGGUCUAAUACAGGAUAUGACAUGUCACCGCAUGGUGGUGUGUGGAAAGGGUUUUACUGGUUUGGGAUGGGCUCACGGCCUAUCAGCUUGUUGGUGGGGUAAUGGCUCACCAAGGCGACGACGGGUAGCCGGCUUGAGAGGGUGACCGGCCACACUGGGACUGAGACACGGCCCAGACUCCUACGGGAGGCAGCAGUGGGGAAUAUUGCACAAUGGGCGGAAGCCUGAUGCAGCGACGCCGCGUGAGGGAUGACGGCCUUCGGGUUGUAAACCUCUUUCAGCACGGAAGAAGCGAAAGUGACGGUACGUGCAGAAGAAGCGCCGGCUAACUACGUGCCAGCAGCCGCGGUAAUACGUAGGGCGCAAGCGUUGUCCGGAAUUAUUGGGCGUAAAGAGCUCGUAGGCGGUUUGUCGCGUCUGCUGUGAAAGCCCGGGGCUUAACCCCGGGUGUGCAGUGGGUACGGGCAGACUUGAGUGCAGUAGGGGAGACUGGAAUUCCUGGUGUAGCGGUGAAAUGCGCAGAUAUCAGGAGGAACACCGAUGGCGAAGGCAGGUCUCUGGGCUGUUACUGACGCUGAGGAGCGAAAGCAUGGGGAGCGAACAGGAUUAGAUACCCUGGUAGUCCAUGCCGUAAACGUUGGGCACUAGGUGUGGGGAACAUUCCACGUUUUCCGCGCCGUAGCUAACGCAUUAAGUGC